rfam:Canis lupus familiaris chromosome X, whole genome shotgun sequence.
AUGUGUGCAGUGCUCUGCUGAGGAAGGUGCUCAUUGCAUUCAUUCAUAAGAGUAAUUAGGACCUCCCUGAGCGGAGUAAUGCUCACCUG